CAGCUUGAUCCGUUAUAUGUGACGCACCAUGACAUUUUGGGUCCAAAUUCGGCGUUACGUCAUUUGAGAAAACAUCAAUUAAAGUUACGUCACAAAAAAUGGUGGACGUUACCACGUGUUCGCGGCAAUUAAUGCAUUAUUGUUUUCAAUAAUACUCUACCUAGCCACAAGAAAUAAAUGAAAUGACAUAAACAUUUCCGUGUUUUGCAAUUCCGUUUCUUUAAAAAUUUUAAAUGAUUGAUAAUUUAUCGCCCUUUGAAUCGACACGCCAUUUGUAAACAUCGAAGGUCGCGGAGAAAAUGAAACUACCAAAAACAGUUAUUUGAUGAUUUAUUUCGAUUGUAUAAAGAAUGACAGUUAACGAAUGUCAAGAUCAACCACUGAGGAUUGUUUGGCUUGAUGCAAUGACCUUAAACAGUUAAAGGAUUUUCCAGGAAGGUUUAUACACCACAAGCUGGAUUCUUUUGGGUGAUGAAAGAACUAUGAAUAUGUAAAUGGGAAUGAAACAGAAGGAAUUAAUAUGUUCUACUGAUCAUCCAGCUGAAAUCAUGCCUAUGGAAUAGAGUGCAUGUCACAAAUACUUAUAUGAGUAAAUAAGUCCAUAUUGCACAAAUAAGGUCAUGUUUCCUGCCCUUAUGACCUGAAAAAGUUAAACAUUCUAAUUCAAAUUACAAAAGUGUUUCAAGAAAAUUAACAUUAAGUCAACUGUGAGAAAUAUUGGGUAGAAAUAUUUUAUAAGACUUAGUGUUUUGUUGCCAUGACAGCUGUGAAGUGGUUUGAAAAGCACUAUCUUAAUUGUUCUAACAAUACAGAAUUUAACUUAUGAAUUUUCCAAAGCUGCAUGUAUGAAAUACUAAGACAUGUCUGUUGAAUGAAUCCUAGUUGUUUCAAAACUACAACAUGUGUGACAUUUAAAGCACAACCUUCCAAACUGGAUGAAACAUUUUUACAAUCAAAACUGCCUUGCCAGUGUAAGUGUAGGAAGGAUUUCCCAGAAAUGGCCAUGACAGAAAACUUCCAAUAUAGCAGAAAAUAUUUGUUACUGGCUAAACAUAAUAGAUUUUGUUUCAGGAAUUAAUCAUGUAAACCCAUGGUUAUAAUUGUGUUAAAAGAUAUGUUUACAUGAACUUUGCAGAAAUAGCUAUUUUUUUGUUGCAAAACAUUGUGAGUUGCCAUGGUAACACAAAUUUGACUUAAAUUAAGAUUUUUUUCAUUAUGUAGACAGCAUGUUUCUUGUUAAAAUUCUGCUAAUCAGACUAGUUCUGCAAGAAAAUACCUUUUAUGUGUAAUCAUUGCAUCAACAAAACAUGUCAUAACACAAAUAUGCCAUAAAAUGGCAGAGUUGUAAUGCAGGUAGGCAUAUCAGAAAAAAUAUGUAAUUCUCAAAGUCAAAUUAUAUUACAUGAAAUAUGUUUUUUUUUUAUAAAUGAUCAUAACUGACCAUUUGUGGUAUAAAACAAAUGUAUACUGAACAGAUGCUAAAUGAAUGUUCUUAUUCUUUCUGGAAAAUUUACAAAAAUACUACUAUUUUAAGAAAAUAGUGCAUUGUUGCCAUGGUAACAUUAAUU